CUCACAAGAGGUAUCGGGAAAGUUUUUCGCUAUAGGAUGAGGCUGCGGCCUAUCAGCUAGUUGGGGAGGUAACGGCUCACCAAGGCUAUGACGGGUAGCUGGUCUGAGAGGAUGAUCAGCCACACUGGAACUGAGACACGGUCCAGACUCCUACGGGAGGCAGCAGUGGGGAAUUUUACACAAUGGGCGAAAGCCUGAUGUAGCAACGCCGCGUGGAGGAUGACGGAUUUAGGUCUGUAAACUCCUUUUAUAGGGGAAGAAAUUUGACGGUACCCUAUGAAUAAGCGCCGGCUAACUCCGUGCCAGCAGCCGCGGUAAUACGGGGGACGCAAGCGUUACUCGGAAUCACUGGGCGUAAAGGGAGCGUAGGCGUUCUAUUAAGUCUCGAGUGAAAUCCCGCAGCCUAACUGCGGAACUGCUCGGGAAACUGAUAGAAUAGAGUAUGGAAGAGGUAGGUGGAAUUUCCAGUGUAGGGGUAAAAUCCGUAGAUAUUGGAAGGAAUACCAGAAGCGA
rnacentral:rRNA from 1 species